CAUGCCCAGCCUUCACUUUCCUUUUAACACUGUUGUGAGAAAUAAUUAGAAUGAGAAUGGUGAUAAAUGGGAAACUGACUCUCAUCCACCCAAACAUUGAGGAGGCAAUGGCAGUUGCUUCUUGGCCUCAGCUUACAGUUACCAUGCAAAAAGUAGGCCAAACAUUGCCUCUGAGUUUUCAAAUGAAGCCAGAAAUUUAGAAUGCUAUGUCAGAUCUUCCAGUACUUAGAUACUGACAAUCAAUUAAAACUUUUGAAAAACUAUGUAUGCCAGUAUUUUACUAGCUCAACAAUACAUAUUUUGGUAUUAAAUCUGGCAGCGAUCUCCAAUUUACAAGCUCCACAUUAUUCCUAGUAUUCUUUUUAGCAAAUAUCAUGCAUAUUGCACAGUACUUUUAUUUAUUUAGAAUACCUAUCGAUGAUCUUUCUGUAUUUAUAGAUAGGCCAUGAGACCAAUUACAUACAGAAGAAAAAUGUGUUUAUAUCAAAGUACACUAUAUUCCAAGUAUCAAAUGUAAGAUGGUGACAAUAACUGAAGUGAAAAUUGAAAGAGGGGAGAGGUUGCCUGAUUCCUGAAUAGCUGUCAAGGAGGAGAGGAGACUCUACCUUGGUUUAUGGAUGGGUCCAAUAUGGACAUACAGAAAAGUAGGUCAAGAAGAGAUGAAGCAUGAGAAAAACCUUGGAGAUGAAUGUGAGAAUGUUUAGUUGCUCAUUAAUAUUUAAGGAGGAGUAAAUAUAAGAAUAUUGGAAGAUCACUUGAGGCCAGGAGUUUCAGACCAGCUGGGACAAUACAGCAUUUCUACAAAAGAUAGUUUUAAAAUUACCUGAGCGUGAUGGCAUGCACCUGUAGUCCCAGCUACUCAGGAGGAUUGCUUGAGCCCAGGAGUUGGAGGCCGCAGUAGGCUAUGAUUGCACCCCUGCACAAUAGCCUGGGCAACAGAGCAAGACUAUCUGUUUAAAAACAAAUAAACAAACAAACCAACCUGAAAAAAAUAACACUGAUAGAGUAAAAAAUAUGACAAGGAACUUGUAGAAGGUGAGGACAGAAGGUUAUGCUGUGGAAAAUAAUAGUGUAUAAAAUGGGGAAGGUAUCUGGUCUACUUCAUGACAUCAGGUUAGAGUUCAGACUCAACUCUUGAGGAAGAAGUUGUGCUAUACAUCUUUUGAUAUCUCCUGCAUCUAACACAGUGCUUAACAUGUAGAAAGCUUCCAAUAAAAUAUUAAAGAUGGAAUGAGGUCACAUGCACAAUGGCAUUUUGACGAACACAAAGCAUGCACGACAUCAUGCGAUUAUUAAUAUUGAUGAGGAAAGAGUAUUCAAAGGAAAUUUCCAUAGGAUUCCUGAGAGAUGAAUAAUAAAUUGAGGGUCUCUGGCAAUCGUUAACAUUGUUGUCAAAGUUCAACAGGCAUUUCCUUCUCAAAAACAAUGAAGGGAAACCCAUUCUACUGGUUCCUGCUACAACUGGGGAUAUUAUGCCAAAAGGGCAAGAGGAAUAGAGAUUCCUAUGUGGCCCUUUUUGAAUUUCGGAAUUGAGACACACUCUACCCUUCCCCCCACCCAGUCUCCCCUAAUUAAAAAAAAAAUAGCAAUAGCCUUUAAUAUAAGCAAACAGGAAGUUUUACAUUCACCAAAUGCUACAGUUCACCUUCCAUUGCAUGACAGCUCAAGCUAUGGAAUCAGACAGACCUGGGUUCAGGUCCCAGCUCAGCAAUUUAUUAGCUCUGCCACUUUAGACAAGUUACUGAGCUUCUUUGAGCCUUUGUAAGAAGAUGAGGCAGCAAAAGCAACACCUAUCUCAUACAACUUAUGAGGAUGAUGGAAGUGAUGAAUAGGAAACCUAAUUACCCACAUGUAAAUACCAGCUUGGAGACAAAAUGAUCUCAUUUCAAGGAGACAUCAAAAGCCAAUGAGACAAUUUCUGUUGAGUUGAAAAUCCCACAAAGAUUUCAUCCACGUUGUAAAUUGGUACUUGAUAUUAAUCUAUUUUUUGACUCCUCCUAAGUGCAGUGUUGCCUUCACACGUAGCUGCGUCUCUCAGCAGGGUGAUCCAUAUCCACAGAUUGCCCACAGCUGUCUCAACCACAUGAAAGACCCAGACACUCCCAAAUGACCCACUGGCACAAGGUAGCCAUUCAUCAAAUGCUAGAAGCUCAGCACCAGACACAAUGAAAGGUAACAUGAAGAAACACACUCGAUUCUGCCUCUCCCAUUGAAUAGAGCAAUAAAACAUGGACACAACACACAAAGCAGCUAUUUGAGGACUCUGAGAAGGAAAUGGCAGCACACAGAUUGGGGGAGAAGACCAGAAUUUGAAAUGCUGCUGAACCACAGUGCAUGUACAGAUCUGAUCCUACUCAGCCUACUACAUAGAUACAUUGUUCAAUGAACAAACUACCUUCCAGGAUCCAGACUGGCCACUAGAUGGAGCACAUGCAGGGCAGAUCCAAAUAGCACUGAAAAGUGUUUGAAAACUGGACAAAUGUUGGAAUCAUAACCCAUAGAAUGUCAGGUAGAACUUGGGGCCUGGCCUCAGACAGCCCAACUGACUGCUAAAAGAAAAAUAUCAACAUCCUUCACAGGAUUUUAGAAAGACCCAGAGUCUAUUAUCACUACAUUUAAAAUGUUCAGGAUACAAUCUAAAAUUACUCCAACAAAUGAAAAAUCAAGAAAGGCUAAACUCAAAUGGUAAGAGAUAAUCAAUGGACAUCAACACAAAUAUAAUACAAAUGUUGAAAUUAUCUGAGAAAGCCUUUAAAAUAUAGUAUAAAAAUACAGUUGGUUGAGCAAGCAACUCUAAAUGCUUUUGAAACCAAAGGAAAGAGAGAAAGUCUCAGCAAAGACAUAGAGGAUAUACAGAAGAAUCAAGUCAGUAUCUUAGAACUGAAAAGCACAACUGCGAUUUAAAAAAAAAAAAAACCCUCACUGAAUGGGCUUAAUAGAAUGAAGAUAACAGAAGAAAGAGUCAGUGAACUUGAAGAUAGAGCAAAAAAACUUACCCAAUCUAAAAAGAAAGAAAAAGAUUGAAAAACUUUAAUAGAGCCUCAUGGAUCUACGUGAUAAUAAAUGUUUUAACAUUCAUGUGACUGAAAUCCCGGAAAUAGAAAGAAUACAGUACUGAAAAAAUAUUUGAAGAUUACAAGUUGAAAACUUCCCAAAUUUGGUGAAAGACAUAAACCUACAGAUUCAAGAAGCUGAGUAAUUCCCAAACAGGACAAACCAAAAUAAAUCCACACCAAGACACAUCUUACUCAGUUAAAAACUAAGGAAAAAGAAUAAAGUCAUUAUCCAUAGAGACACAGCAAUUGAAAUUACUGCAGAUUUGUCACUAGAAACUGAUAGUUACAGGAGGCAGCUCAAUGCCUAGGCAGAAAGGGGCAGAUCCCUGUUGAAACCCCACCUCCAAGGCAAAGACAAUUUAAAGCCUGAAAGCCAAGCUACAGGUUAAAUCCUCAGACCAGAUUGAGAACUUGUCUUCCCAUUUGGCAUACUUUCCUCUGGUCGAUCCCCACCCUUUACCUAUUUUACGUUUUCCUACCCUUUCCUAAUUGGUUUUCUACACUGUUGUGCCCACCUUUGAGUGGUGUCUUCAUUUUAAUCUUUUGCAUACAAACCACUCAGCAUGCACUCCCCAUUCUGAGUCCAUAAAAAGCCCUUGACCCAGCACUUUGGCAGGCCAAGGUGGGUGGAUCACUUGAGGUCAGGAAUUCAAGACCAGGUUGGCCAACAUGGCAAAACCCCAUCUCUACUAAAAAUAUAAAAAUAUUAGUCGGGCGUGAUGGUACACACCUGUAGUCCCAGCUGCUCCAGAGGCUGAGGCAGGAGAAUUGCUUAAACCUGGGAAGCAGAGGUUGCUGUGAGCCAAGAUGGCACCACUGUACUCCAGCCUGGAUGACAGAGCAAGGCCCUGUCGAAAAAUAAUAAUAAUAAUAAUAAGCCUCUGACCCAGAAACACAGAGAGGGAGGAAUCACCUGACUGCAGGGGUGGGGAACAACCACCCCCCUCCCCCACAAACUCCUCUCUCUCAUGAGAGCCAUUUCAUUGCUCAAUAAAAUCUUACAUUCUCAUCACCUUUUAAUCAUCAACAUGACCUCAUUCUUCUUGGACUCUGGACUAGAGCUUGGGACACACUGAGCUCAGGUACUCUGAAAGGCUGUAGCACUGGCCCUUUGGCCUCGCUGGUGGAGGGCAGCACCUCAUAUAACAGGGCAAGGGGCUGACCGAGCUGUUAACACACUGCUGUCCAUCAGGCUGUGGACAGUGGAACUAAAAGAGCUAAAGAGCACACUAACGCUGCUGCUUUGGGGUCACCGGCACCUCUGCCUGGGCACCGCCAUGUUCCCCUGGAGGUAACACAUCUGAUCUGGCCGUGGGCUGACAAGGAAUUUGCUCCUGUGUUGGCACUCAGAGUGGCUGGAUGAAUCCUGUACUCAUGAGCUCAUGUGCUCCCUCCCGCAAGGGGCUGAGCGUGAUGGGUCGAGUUGAUGGGAUGUCCCUGCUGUGAGCCCAACAAAGGGGCCGAGAAAAAUCCUGUUUCAAAACUAUGGGCCCAGAGGGUAGUUGCACACUAUUCUUAAAGUGUUGAAAUGAAAGAACUGUCAACACAAACUCUACAUCCAGAAAAAAUAUCCUUCAGAAAUAAAGUUGAAAUAAGGACAUGCUCAGAUGAAGAAAAACUAAGAAAAAUCGUUUACAACAGAUCUGCCCUCACCAAAUUGCUAAAGCAAGCUCCUCAAGAGGAAGGAAAAUGAUACCAGAUAGAAAUUUUAAACAUCAGCAAUAAAGAGCAAAUGAAAGAGUAAAUAGACCAUUCUUCGCUUGAGAAAAAAGAUGGAAAGCAAAAAUUAAACACCGUUUACUGGGGUUUUCAAUAUACAUAGAUGUACUGGAUGAAAAAUUAUAACCUAAAGGGAAGUAAAGAGAUGCUUAUAGGAGUGUUGAUAUUCCACUGGAAAUGGUAAAAUGUUGAAUUUCAGUAGACAGUUAAAAAGCUAAAUAUG
rnacentral:lncRNA from 10 species